UGGGGAAUAUUGCGCAAUGGGCGAAAGCCUGACGCAGCAACGCCGCGUGAGUGAUGAAGGCCUUCGGGUUGUAAAGCUCUUUCGGCCGGGAAGAAGGGGUAUGGUGUUAAUAGCAUUGUACUUUGAUGGUACCGGAAGAAGAAGCACCGGCUAACUUCGUGCCAGCAGCCGCGGUAAUACGAAGGGUGCGAGCGUUGUUCGGAAUUACUGGGCGUAAAGGGUUCGUAGGCGGGAAUUUAAGUCAAGUGUGAAAUCCCCGAGCUUAACUUGGGACGUGCAUUUGAAACUGAGUUUCUUGAGUAUUGGAGAGGGUGGUGGAAUUGUUGGUGUAGGAGUGACAUCCGUAGAGAUCAGCAGGAACAUCAGAUGCGAAAGCGACCGCCUG
rnacentral:rRNA from 1 species